UCGUUAGCUCCCCUCAAGCCACCUGCAAGCUGCUCGGUCCACUCGUAGCUUCAUGUCGGCGGAUCCCCGUCGAUUCACUCGACACAAACCAUGGCUGGCUGUGCAGUUCAUUGAACUAACAGACCGUCUCACAGCUCUGUUGUCAAGUUCUUCCGUUUUCCUCUAGGUGAUCCUGAGAGGCUAGACCUGUGGGUGAUCAACAUGAAGAGACAGAACUGGAUUCUGAGCCUCUGCAGUCAACACUUGAGAGACAACACUUGAGCAAUGACAAAAGGGUGACUCAGACAGCCUGCACCAGUGGAUGUCCAACAUGAGGAGACAGAACAGGACUCCAACAAGACUGAACACUAAGUUUCAUCACCUAUGCACUGACUCCAGGAGCAGACCUGUUUUCAUACCUUACAAACAAUCAAAG